rnacentral:rRNA from 1 species
UACGUAGGGGGCAAGCGUUGUCCGGAUUUAUUGGGCGUAAAGAGCGUGUAGGCGGCCAGGUAGGUCCGUUGUGAAAACUCGAGGCUCAACCUCGAGACGUCGAUGGAAACCAUCUGGCUAGAGUCCGGAAGAGGAGAGUGGAAUUCCUGGUGUAGCGGUGAAAUGCGCAGAUAUCAGGAAGAACACCCGUGGCGAAGGCGGCUCUCUGGGACGGUACUGGACGCUGAGACGCGAAAGCGUGGGGAGCGAACAGG